GGAGUCUAUUUUGUCAAUAAACUACAAAAUAUUAAAUUGAAUUACACUGUCUCUCUCAGAGGUUCCCUGUCAUGGACUGGUGAUAUAUUAUGUAGUGGGUCAAUAUUACAGUGGGAUCCACGUCUAUCAGGAGACUAUUAGACCACACCCAGGAGGUCUGUGGGAUUCACUGGUCACCAAAUCAUCAGCAACUGGUGUCAGGAGGAAAUGAUAAUAUAGUUAUGGUAUACUGUUACUGUUCUUACGAGGUACCCAAUGUAUGCUCCUUUUCAUCAAAGAGGAAGAAUUACUCUAACAACUAGAUCAGUAGCG